AAUCCCACCCAGCCAGGUAAAGAAAAUAAUAUUUUGAAAUGAAAAGAGAGGGUUCUUCAUUGUGCUGAUGGAUCCAAAGUUCAAUAAAUAUGUAAGACAUCCUCGAUUAUCCCGGGAUAGUUACUAAAAGUGUGAUCAAAUUAUUGACAUUAAAACUUUGGUCAUUUCAAAGUUGUAUAAAGUCUGCUAGUCAAUCCUUCAUUUUCCGCAUCUGACAUUAUAAUGCUCAAAUUAUUUUGUUGCAUGAUUUAAUGCAGUGCCAAACUCAAACCCUUUAAUUUGCUUUGCAGUGUAUUCUUGAUUAUUUUAAAUAAAUUAAUAAAUCUGCACUCAAUCAAUUCCUACUAGGAUGCAUUAUUAUGAUGAUUUUUGUUUUCUUUGUUUUUUCCUUCUUAAUUAUAAAUUAUGAUUCUCUUGAUUGCGCAUGUUUUAUAAUCAGAUGGUAAGAUAACACAGGUAGGGUUGGCCGUGUUAAGUAGAAUGGCGGUUGUGAAAAAUUCGUUGUUGCUGUUAAGUCUCUGAAGUCGGUCAGUUAUAUAGGAAAGAUUUCUGCUACCAGGUUUUUUUCCGCUUUUUUAAGUAUUCAUGGGUUCUACGGAAACCGACCUAUAGAUACUGAAAUUGGAACAAUUACUGUGUCUAGAAGCUUUAGCCAAAUUGCGAUUCCUCUAGAACCAGGGUGGCUACAAAAGGAGAGGCUGCUAGGCUGCUGUGGACAAAAAGAGUAUAGGAAGAUGUCAUGCUAUAGCCAUAUGCCGCGUGAAAUUGUGGAAGAAAUACUGCAAAAAUUACCUGUUAAAUCACUCUUACGAUUCAGGGCUGUAGGGUUUUUGGUUUGAUGUCAGAACUAGUGACUACAAGCUUGUCGAUAUUGUGCGACUUCAAGAUAAUCUUCAGCCUCUGGUAAAAGUCUACGAGCUAAAUAGAAACACGUGAAGGGAAAUUGGCAGCACUCCCCAACUAUUUGUAAACCGAUCUUUCACUUUCUUGAAUGCAGCUCUCCAUUGGCUUGGAUAUCGUAAAAAAGAUGAUCCAUUUGACGAUGUAGGCUAUGUGAGGGUGGUAUUGUUCGAUACGACCAGCAAAGUAUUCAGGGAGACGUAAUUUCCAGAAGCUGUUGGUUCCAAGUCAGUAGUCAUUGUGCAUGGAAAAUUGGAUUAAAGUACAAUUCACAAUUAUCUGCACAAAUAUGAAUAGGUACUAGAGUUCAGGGAGAACGGGCAACUUCUCUUACUGCAAAUUCGCCGAUUGGUUUUGUAUGAUCUUCAAACUGUGAAAGAAAACUUGCUAUCUGUUUUCCUCAGUCUGUACUGUUUUGGGGAGGGAAUUAUGUAGAGACUCUAGCCUUGCUGGAUGGUUCUCAAGGGAGGUGUAACUCUUUGCAAUAUAAUAUUAACUCAGAAGAGGCCACUUCUCAACAACCGAAGGAGAGAGUGAUCCAAUUGAACCAAACAUAUCUGAAGAAAACACAUGUAAAAACACACACAGAUACAUGGUUACACAAACAUAUCUUUUAAGAGAUCCAGAAGACUUGGCAGAGAAUAGCCAUCUGAAGAAAACUAGGUUUUCUACCAAAAGGCGAAGCUAGAGGAGGGAGAGUCGGAGAAGAUGUCAAACUAUAGCUAUAUAUCUUGUGAAAGUUUUGGAAGAAUACUGGUAAGGUUGCCUGUUAAAGUC